AUUUAUUUAAUAUAAUCAGUAUAUUUGAUUUCCAAUCAAAAAGUCUAAUAAAUUAGAAUAAAUA
rnacentral:tRNA from 1 species